UACAGAGGUCUCGAGCGUUGUUCGGAUUCAUUGGGCGUAAAGGGUGCGUAGGUGGCUAGGUAAGUCGGAUGUGAAAUCCCGGGGCUCAACCCCGGGCCUGCAGUCGAUACGGGCAGACUAGAGUGCGGUAGGGGAGACUGGAAUUCCUGGUGUAGCGGUGAAAUGCGCAGAUAUCAGGAGGAACACCGGUGGCGAAGGCGGGUCUCUGGGCCGACACUGACACUGAGAGACGAAAGCUAGGGGAGCGAAUGGG
rnacentral:rRNA from 1 species